GUGUCUGGGUCACUGUUGCUAGGCAGAUUAAGCCCUCCACAGCCAGAAGCUUCUGGCAUUGGGGGUGGACGGUAGUGUUGGGUCUGCUCCAACAGGUUCCCUGUUGCUGGGGUCAGACUCCAUGGGGGCAGGCAGUCAGGGAAGCUGCUUUGCAGAAGGCCACAUGCCCUGUGUGGGUUGGGGGAAGCUGAGCCCAGGAGCAGGAAGCAGGUUGUUGUCCCGAGCUCUGAAACACUUUGCAGCAGGUAACUGAGCGGUUGGUUAAUCAGUCAGCUGACUGGCUAGCAGUGAUUUCAGCAGAGGAAGAGUCUGAUUCCAACUGAAGAUCCCUACAAGCCAGGGGAGGGAAGAUGUUGUUUUAGACUCAGCAAAUUGAUAGAUUUGGUGAUCAAAGACUCUGAGACUUAGAACUAACCAGGAUGCUCCUAGAUUAUGCAGAAGUGACAAGAGAGGCAGAGAUUUCAGUAGUGCUGCCUGCUAUGUACAGCACCAUAUAGAAAACAGUCCAGUCAAAGAACUACGAAUUCCUCUCUGAGUCAUUUUCUCCUGUGAUGGGAUUUAAAUAUACCUCCCCCUUUCGAACCAGAAAGACUUAAUGAAGGCACAAGCCCACAGGUCAGGAAACUUAGCUUAUCUUUCUCUCUGUGUUGGUGCCUGUAAAUUCUGAAGCAAGAAAGUGUUUGUUUCCCCCCACAAAGCCUCCUUUUAUCCCCCCCCAGCUCAUUAAGUCAAAUGCCUUCCCUGUCUCCUUACAAGACUGUGAUGUCAUGGAGCUGAGGGCUGGUUUAAAAAAAGAAACAGCCCACCCUGCCAGCCCAUUCACACAGAGAGCCCUUUAAAAAAAAAAAAGCGCUAUGCCUCAAUGCAAUAAAACAGCACAAUUUACCUUAAAGACUGAGCCAACCUGUCAGCAUUACCUUCCCAUACUUCACGCGGGCAAGGUGCUCAAUGAACUGCUUGCAGACAGCAUUGGUAGGAAUUUUUUUCUGGUGCCUUUAAGUGAAAAAAAAAAUCGCAGCACGUCUCUUUGCAUCAGCAAAGAAACAAUUAGAGGUACGGUCAUAGUGAAAGACACGAGCCACGUGCAACAUUUCACAGCAACUGAGAAAUAACUAACAGGUUGCCUUUAUUCCUCCCACAAAUGGAGAGGCUUAAAUGCCAGCGGCAAAAUUUGGGGCCAGCCUAGUGACCUUGUGGUUACUGCGGAAUUGGAUUAAAGCAUGAUGGGAUUCUGAACACGAAAAGCAGAAGUAGAAGCUACAUUGCCAGGGUGCUCUCUGUGAGGGCUCUGGGACUCCGGAACUUGUUCCCUGCCCUGAUCCAAAAUAGCCUGAAUUUGGUGAUUUUCCAGGCAAACACAACACAAAAUACAAAGUGUAUAGUGCUCACUUUAUACUAAUAUUUUUAUUACAAAUAUUUGCACUGUAAAAAGAUAAACAAAAGAAAUAGUAUUUUUCAAUUCAUCUCAUACAAGUCCACUCAGUCCUACUUCUUGUUCAGCAACUGCUAAGACAAACUUGUUCGUUUACAUUUAUGGGACAUAAUGCUGCUUGCUUUUUAUUUACAAUGCCACCCGCAAGUGAGAACAGGUGUUUGCAUGGCACUUUUGUAGCCAGCGUUGCAAGGUAUUUAUGUGCCAGGUGCGCUAAACAUUCAUAUGCCUAUUCAUGCUUCAACUUGUAGGCUCUAAAGUUUUACAUUGUUUUGUUUUUGCAGUUUACAUAAAAAAAGUAGUAAUUCUACAUUUGUAAGUUGCAUUUUCAUGAUAAAGAGAUUGUACUAUAGUACUUGUAUGCGUUGAACUGAAAAAUAUUUGUUUAUCUUUUUUACAGUGCAAAUAUUU